rnacentral:ncRNA from 1 species
ACAAAGUUUUGGUCCUAAACUUGCCGUUGUUUUUAAUCAAGAUUACACAUGCAAGCCUCCACACACCAGUGAAAAUGCCCACACCCCUUAAGUAGAAGCCGGAGCAGGUAUCAGGAUCAACCAAAUCGUUUAGCCAAAGACACCUUGCCACGCCACACCCCCACGGGCCAUCAGCAGUGAUUAACAUUAAUACAUGAGCGAAAGCUCGACUUGGCUAUGAUUAAGUAUGGUCGGUAAAUUUCGUGCCAGCCACCGCGGUUAUACGAAAGACUAAAAACAACGACCGCCCGGCGUAAAGCGUGACUAAAGUACAAUCAAACAUUUAAAGGAAAACAACCGGAAAGCCGUAAAACGCUACUACAAGUUGGAACUAAUACGACCACCCGCCUUUAAACAAAAGAUCCCUUGACCUCACGAAAGCCAAGACACAAACUGGGAUUAGAUACCCCACUAUGCCUGGCCAUAAACACAGACAAUACAAACACAAUAUUGUUCGCCAGAGAACUACAAAUGAAAAGCUCGAAACUCCAAGGACUUGGCGGUGCUCCACAUCUCCCUAGAGGAGCCUGUCCUAUAAUCGAUACCCCACGUUAAACCUUACCACCCAUAGCCCACAGCCUAUAUACCGCCGUCGCAAGCCUACCUUAUGAAAGCAAAACAGUAGGCGAAACAGUUAAUAACUAACACGUCAGGUCAAGGUGUAGCAUAUGGGGUGGAAGAGAUGGGCUACAUUUUCUACUUUAGAGCACACAAACGGAACAAUGAAACACGUACCCGAAGGUGGAUUUAGCAGUAAGAUAAACAAGCAAUGGUAUCUUAAACCCGCUCUGGAGCGCGCACACACCGC